GCUAAUGAGGUCUUUAACACCUGUACUCUGACCAGCAGCUGAGUCUAAGCAGAACCAGGUGGGGCAGCCAACAGCUUAGAGGUGGCCGAAGGGAGCUCGAAACCAGAAAGAGAAGCCCCUGUUCCUGGUCGUUGUUCAUUCCCCGGUGACUUGCUUUCGUCUGUGAGCACACAGUGGCCCAGGAACUAGACACAGCUCCGACUCUGUCAGUCGUCUCCUCCGAAGUCUGCAUCUGGACUGCGGCAGGUGGCGAGAGCACGAAAGAUAGGAUGCGGAAAGAGAAAAUACCCUUCCAGGACGCCCUCCUUGGAAUGCUUUGGCCUUGUCUUCCUUGUGUUCUUUCUUCUGAGAACUAAAGACGGCUCCUUGAAGUACCUCCAUGUCCUUUCUCCCCUAAAAUACUCCCUGCACUUGCCUCUCUUCUGCUCUCAGGUUCUAACAGAGCAAAUAGUGAUAACUAGACAAAUGGAACAUGAAAUAUCAACGUUUUAAUAGAGGUAACUAGCUGAAAACUAGAAAAGGCAAGACUUCAGGUAAAAUGGAUGAGAAAACGUGACUUAGAACCGAAGCCAAUGUGAGGCUUCCCAUCUUGAAUCUGCAUCUUGGAUUCUGUGUGGUAAGGUAGCCUAUAAAAAGGAUCUAGGCCUGCUCCUGCAGGGCAAUCUUAGAGGCUAAGGACCCACCUGGGCAUGGGUAGACCAGGAGGAGGGUGGCCCAUUUGAAGACCCUGCCACCUGAGAAUGUAGUCUGAUCAGUUUCAAACUCUGACCAAUCAGAUUAGCGACUCCUUCUGCACUGGAGAGCGUUAAGGAGGUCCCCAAGUGGGCAGACUGUGAGGGCCCUUUUAGGGGCCGUGGCAGAAAGGUGAGAGGUGAAGGGCGGAGGAAAGUGGCUUUCCUUUCUCCUUAUCUCCUCGUCCCAGCAAAAAUGGAAACCCAUUUGAGAGUCCCCCAUGACUAUUCUUCAGCCCAAGUGGUUAAAAAUUUCCUGAACCAAAUCCUCCUUUCUAUAAAAAUAUAAAUGUCACAAAUUGUACCUUUAUAACAAACAUAUAAUUGAAACUUCUCACACUUCUUUCAGCUCCAAAUCCAGCUUCUGUAGAAACCUGCAGUGUAUUCUACCUCUCAUCUGUCAAAAAUAGGAAAGGAUCUCAUGCUAUGGUUGCAUUUGGUAAGAGCUGUGCUUGUGAGCACAAUCAAAGCUUAAAAUUAGAAUGGCCACUAUUUGCUUUUCCUAAAUGGAGUGUAAUAGGUUACAAUUCUUUGGAUUAUUGGAAUUUUAAUUAGGAAUUCCAGACAUUAUAGUAAAUUAAUAGCUCAUGAUUAAGUUUCCAUUGGCAAUUAAUGCCAGGUUUUAAAUAAGUGUUUGUUACUUACAUUUCAUGUUAUGUUUACAUUUAUUAAGUAGUCAAAUAUUUCUGUUGAUUGCACAGUGUUCCUAUGAAUAGUCACAAGCAUCCUGAUUAAUUAUAAAGCACUACUCUGGCAAAGAUGUCUUGUUGUGAGACUGUGUAGAUACACAUGUUCACAGUGUAAGUUUGCAAUGCCUGUCUUGACUAACAUUUGCAUGUUGUGUGUGCUGGAAAAGCAAGUGCAGAUAGAGAUGGUGUCCCGUGCACUCUAACUGAACAGAGGUGGCAUCCACCUUUGCUUGAACCGGAUUGAUGAACUCACAGGAAACUGAUUAGCUAGAACUGGGGGAAAUUUGUUUCUAGUUUUUCUUGGAAUUUGGUCCAUGAAAAUAGUUUUUGGAAUUCGCAGGAAAACAAAUUUAUAUAAAAAUAGAUGUCUUUUUUUUAACUGAAAGAACGAGGGAACUUCUUAAUGCCUAAUGUUCAAAAAGCAUAAACCGAAAAAAAAGAUGUUCUUCUGCUUCCACACUGAGUUAAUUAAUUUCAGCUGUGUUUUGAGGUGGGCCCUCAAGGGAAUUAUGAU
rnacentral:lncRNA from 1 species